rnacentral:rRNA from 1 species
UACGUAGGCAGCAAGCGUUGUUCGGAAUUACUGGGCGUAAAGAGUGUGUAGGCGGUGCUCUAAGUUUGGUGUGAAAUCUCCCGGCUUAACCGGGAGGCUGCAUCGAAUACUGGAAUGCUAGAGGGUGGGAGAGGUAAGCGGAAUCCCUGGUGUAGCGGUGAAAUGCGUAGAUAUCAGGAGGAACACCUGUGGUGUAGACAGCUUACUGGACCACUUCUGACGCUGAGACACGAAAGCGUGGGUAGCAAACAGG